rnacentral:piRNA from 1 species
UACCAAAAUAAAAGUUGUAGUGAAGGU